UCGAUUCUUCUUCUUCCUUCUGACCAGAUGUUUCCCAAUCCGAAACCUUGCCACCAUGAACCCAGAAACCGUCUUAAGAAAAGCUUAAAGAAUAGAAACCGCCUUGGAGAAGUAGCAGGUGUCAAGAUGGUGGAGAACAAGUUUCUCAUCGGGUGACUCCCCAAAGCUAGGAACCUAAAUUGGUAAGAUUUCGAUUGACCAAUUCAAUUUUGCUUCCUUUGUUCUUGUCUUGGACGCCAAGUUCUAUCCAUUUUCAAAACACUAUAAAUAGGUAGAGCAUUCUGUGUUUUUAGAUAGGUUUUUAGUGGUCUCUUCAUUCUUAGAGAGAAUAGAGAGAACCAAUGUUUUAGAAAUAGACAGGAAUUAAGAAGAAUUAAGGUACGAACUUCUCUUUUUAAUUCAAUUUGAUCUUUUUAUGCAUGUUCUGAUCAGUUGAUUAAUUGUUAUUCAAAGUGAGUAUAUGCUUUUAAUCAAAAGUUGUUAUCACUUUAGGAUUUUAGCUAUACUGUUUGCUUGUUUUGAUUAGUUGCUAUUAAAAAUUGGCUUUGGAUUUGAAUUUGAUGGUAAGUAGAAUUGCUGAUUUCUUUGGUUUUGGUUAAGUUUGAAGUGCAUUCUUUGUUAGCCAAACUAGUUCUAUUAUGUAGACAAUCAAGUUUAUGCAGAGCAGUUGUUGAUAGGAUUUGUUGUUAGAAUUCCAUAUCUUAAACCCUUUUCUUAGAAUUUGAGACAUAGGCAUACAUCAACAGUUUUUCUCUAUUGUAUCUAAAUUUCGAAAAAUCAUAAGUAAAUGUAGAAAAAUCUUUUUUAUGCGAUUCUAGUUCCUGAUUGAUCUUUAGGAUUUCUAUUACAAUUGUUAUGAAGAGACCAACCCAAAAUUCUUAGCCGAGCUAUACUGUUUUUAGCCAAAAAGGUCUGCUAGCCAGUAAGCUAGGCAGACAUUUUCUGAUUUUGGAUUUUUGUUUUUGGUUGCACUUUGGGUUUUGAUUCUUUGUUUAUUCUGAUGUGAAAUUGUAUAUUUAUUGAGAUAAGAUCAUAAAGUUCCUAUAUGUGUUAUUAUUUUUUGAUAUUGAAGGUAGAAAUCGUGAUUUUGGUUUGCUUAAAGCUAGCUAUAAGAUUUAGAACUACUUUUACUUAUUACUUCUUUGUUUUGCUGUUUGUGUGAUGUUUUAGUUCAGUCCUUUACAGUGAAAGUUUUGUGUGAUUUCUUUUUGUUUUAACACCAAAAUGUCUAUAUUAAAUAUCUAGAAGUUUUGUUCUACUUGGAGUUUAUGUUUUUGCUUUCAAAUACUUUAAAUAGGCUUUUAGCAGAAACUUGUUAGAAAUUCCUGAAACUGUAGCUGUUCUUUAGAAAUUCAUAACUAAUUCAAGAAAACUCGUUUUAAAGUGAUUCUAACUCUCAGAGUUUCUUUACUGUGUCUAGUUUAUUUCUUUAGAAGACCACGAAGUCAAAUUCCUUAUAGUUUUGUAUAGUUUUCAGUCGGAAGAUUACUGGUUCAGAAUGUUAGAUUUGUGUUAUUGUGUUUAAGUGAAAAAUUGUUUUGGUUAGCUACUGUAUCUUAGUGUCAUUGUUGAGUCUUAGUAUGAGUUUUAAAUGAAAUAGAGUUGGUAUAUGAUUGUUUAACUAAUGUUUGUAUCUUUUAUUAGGAAUUUGCUUCAAGUGAUUGGCAAAGGUAGGGGGAUCUGAGGAACCUCUACUCAUUUGUAUUAUGUGUUUAUAUGUUUGUUGAUAUGUUUGUUUUGGGAUGAUUGUGUAUUUGAUGGAAUUACAUGUUUGAAGUAUAUGUUAUUAAUUGGUGCAUCAUUCAGUAAAGUCCUUUGAAGAAUAAGGGUAGUGAAGGUGAUAUGAAAUUGAUCUUUUGCGUAGUUGAGUCCAAACCUCAGCAGGAACCAUGUCCCAGGUAUGCCUGUGGUUAUUGCGCAAUUAAUAUAGGAAUGAUAAGGGUAAUUCGAGACUAGAGAAAAGGAAUGGACAAGAUGACUAGCUAAAGAGGGCUAGGGAUUGAUUUUGGUGAAGUUGUUCAUAUUAGUUGAGUAUGUUGAGUCACCUUCUUGGUAAAAUACAAGGUAUAGGACAUGUAGGCUCAGUUUGUUCAGCUAUGUGGAUUAACUAGAGUAGAACAUCCAUUUAUGCAUAUCAUGUGAUUAUUGUAUGGUUAUCUUUUGUUUGGAGAGGAUUAGCUCCCUAUUGAGCCACAGGUUGAGCUCACCCCUUUACAUUCUUGCAGGUUAUGAAACAGGAGAACAAUGACAAUUAGUGAUUGAAGUAAUUAGAGUUAUUUGGAGUUCCUAAUGUGUAAUCAUCAUAAGGAAGAGAGUUUGCUUAGAACUUUUGAGUUGUCCGUAUACUGAUUUUGAAAUGAAAAGUCGAUUUCUUUAAGGUGUAUGUUUUAUUUUCUAUCAUUUAGCUUAUUUUUAUUUUAGCUCACUCCUUGGAUUUUCGGGAAAGAAAAAAAUCUAGCCCAAAAUCCGGGGUGUGACAGAUUGAGGAGGAGCUUGAUCUCCCUAUAUAUACACAUCGAAAUGCAUCAAAUGUUGUAGAGUUUUUUUGUGCUAAAUUUGUUUAAUUUGAAAACCCUUGCUGCUUAAUCUGCAAAGUGCUUUGAACAAAAACUCAUAUAUAGAUCUGUCAUUGCAUCUGUCAUUUCUUAGUGAUCAAGAAAUGUGAGAUUGGGAUCCAAAGAAACGUGUUCAGUUCAUUCGUAUCAAAUUGUAUUCACUAGUUGUAAAAUAGGCUGCUCAGUUGCUAGAUCAAGUUAGUUUAUGUACUAGUGAAUGUGAUUGUAUUGAACAUCACUACUUGAUAUAAAUGUAAUUCUAUUUACAUAUAGUGGAUUGGUUUU
rnacentral:lncRNA from 1 species